rnacentral:rRNA from 1 species
UACGUAGGGGGCAAGCGUUGUCCGGAUUUAUUGGGCGUAAAGAGCGUGUAGGCGGCCGUACAGGUCAGCUGUGAAAACUCGAGGCUCAACCUCGAGACGUCGGUUGAAACCGUACGGCUAGAGUCCGGAAGAGGAGAGUGGAAUUCCCGGUGUAGCGGUGAAAUGCGCAGAUAUCGGGAAGAACACCCGUGGCGAAGCGGCUCUCUGGGACGGUACUGACGCUGAGACGCGAAAGCGUGGGGAGCGAACAGG